rnacentral:rRNA from 1 species
GUAGGGAAUAUUGGGCAAUGGUCGGAAGACUGACCCAGCCAUGCCGCGUGCAGGAAGACGGCCCUCUGGGUUGUAAACUGCUUUUAUCUGGGAAGAAAAAGGCCAUGCGUGGCAAAUUGCCGGUACCAGAUGAAUAAGCACCGGCUAACUCCGUGCCAGCAGCCGCGGUAAUACGGAGGGUGCGAGCGUUGUCCGGAUUUAUUGGGUUUAAAGGGUGCGUAGGCGGCUGAUUAAGUCAGCGGUGAAAGACUUCGGCUUAACCGGAGCAGUGCCGUUGAUACUGGUUGGCUUGAGUGUCGGAGGGGUACAUGGAAUUGAUGGUGUAGCGGUGAAAUGCAUAGAUACCAUCAGGAACACCGAUAGCGAAGGCAUUGUACUGGCCAACAACUGACGCUGAUGCACGAAAGUGUGGGGAUCGAACAGGAUUAGAUACCCCAGUAGUCC